rnacentral:rRNA from 1 species
CAGUCGCCACGGUAAUACAGAGGGUGCGAGCGUUAAUCGGAUUUACUGGGCGUAAAGCGUGCGUAGGCGGCUUUUUAAGUCGGAUGUGAAAUCCCUGAGCUUAACUUAGGAAUUGCAUUCGAUACUGGGAAGCUAGAGUAUGGGAGAGGAUGGUAGAAUUCCAGGUGUAGCGGUGAAAUGCGUAGAGAUCUGGAGGAAUACCGAUGGCGAAGGCAGUCAUCUGGCCUAAUACUGACGCUGAGGUACGAAAGCAUGGGGAGCAAACAGGAUUAGAUACCCCAGUAGUCCCUGUCUCUUAUAC